rnacentral:rRNA from 1 species
UGGGAACGCGAAGAACCUUACCAAGUCUUGACAUCGGAAUGACCGUCUCGUAACGGAGACUUCCCUUCGGGGCAUUCCAGACAGGUGGUGCAUGGUUGUCGUCAGCCCGUGUCGUGAGAUGUUGGGUUAAGUCCCGCAACGAGCGCAACCCUUAUCCUUAGUAGCCAGCAGUUCGGCUGGGCACUCUGGGGAGACUGCCAGGGAUAACCUGGAGGAAGGUGGGGAUGACGUCAAAUCAUCAUGCCCCUUAUGAUUUGGGCUACACACGUGCUACAAUGGCGUAAACAAAGGGAAGCGAAGGAGUGAUCUGGAGCAAAUCUCAAAAAUAACGUCUCAGUUCGGAUUGUAGUCUGCAACUCGACUACAUGAAGCUGGAAUCGCUAGUAAUCGCGGAUCAGAAUGCUGCGGUGAAUACGUUCCCGGGUCUUGUACACACCG